AGUGAACGCUGGCGGUAGGCCUAACACAUGCAAGCCGAACGGCAGCACAGGAGAGCUUGCUCUCUGGGUGGCGAGUGGCGGACGGGUGAGGAAUACAUCGGAAUCUACUUUUUCGUGGGGGAUAACGUAGGGAAACUUACGCUAAAACCGCAUACGACCUACGGGUGAAAGCAGGGGACCUUCGGGCCUUGCGCGAUGGAAUGAGCCGAUGUCGGAUUAGAUAGUUGGCGGGGUAAAGGCACACCAAGGCGACGAUCCGUAGCUGGUCUGAGAGGAUGAUCAGCCACACUGGAACUGAGACACGGUCCAGACUCCUGCGGGAGGCAGCAGUGGGGAAUAUUGGACAAUGGGCGCAAGCCUGAUCCAGCCAUACCGCGUGGGUGAAGAAGGCCUUCGGGUUGUAAAGCACUUUUGUUGGGAAAGAAAUCCAGCUGGCUAAUACCCGGUUGGGAUGACGGUACCCAAAGAAGAAGCACCGGCUAACUUCGUGCCAGCCGCCGCAGUAA
rnacentral:rRNA from 1 species